rnacentral:lncRNA from 1 species
CACUUGCAGCAGCAUAUGGCACUUCAAUAGAUGUUGCUUACUGUGGUCUGGAGGCAGAGUUACCAGCACUGUGAUUCUUGUAGCCAUUCGCUGUUCCUGUACCCCUUCUGCUCCUAACGAAGUGGUGCCUUAAAAUGAGAACUCUUGGAAGUUGAUGUAUGAUGCAGUUACCAGGGAGCAGGAGAUGGUCACAUGUCAGUGUGGGCUUUAUGGACCUGAUUCUCAGACCAAGCUGCAUGUUUGCCUACAGAUGUUCCUGUGGAGGAAUGAGCUCCAGCUCUGAGAACAGGAGAGGCCAGCAGUGGCAAAUGAAGCCAUGA